rnacentral:rRNA from 1 species
UACGUAGGGUGCGAGCGUUAAUCGGAAUUACUGGGCGUAAAGCGUGCGCAGGCGGUUUUGUAAGACAGGGGUGAAAUCCCCGGGCUUAACCUGGGAACUGCGCUUGUGACUGCAAGACUCGAGUGUGGCAGAGGGGGGUGGAAUUCCACGUGUAGCAGUGAAAUGCGUAGAGAUGUGGAGGAACACCGAUGGCGAAGGCAGCCCCCUGGGUCAACACUGACGCUCAUGCAUGAAAGCGUGGGGAGCAAACAGG